UGGGGAAUAUUGGACAAUGGGCGAAAGCCUGAUCCAGCAAUGCCGCGUGUGUGAAGAAGGCCUUCGGGUUGUAAAGCACUUUAGUGGGGGAAGAAGGUCACGCAAGUGAUUUGACGGUACCCCAAGAAUAAGCACCGGCUAACUCUGUGCCAGCAGCCGCGGUAAUACAGAGGGUGCGAGCGUUAAUCGGAAUGACUGGGCGUAAAGGGCGCGUAGGUGGAUAAUUAUGUUGGAUGUGAAAGCCCCGGGCUUAACCUGGGAAUUGCAUACAAAACUGGUUAUCUAGAGUGGAGCAGAGGUGAGUGGAAUUUCCGGAGUAGCGGUGAAAUGCGUAGAUACCGGAAGGAACACCAGUGGCGAAGGCGACUCACUGGGCUUUAACUGACACUGAGGCGCGAAA
rnacentral:rRNA from 1 species